UGGGGAAUCUUAGACAAUGGGCGCAAGCCUGAUCUAGCCAUGCCGCGUGAGCGAUGGAGGCCUUAGGGUUGUAAAGCUCUUUCAGUGGGGAAGAUAAUGACUGUACCCACAGAAGAAGCCCCGGCUAACUCCGUGCCAGCAGCCGCGGUAAUACGGAGGGGGCUAGCGUUGUUCGGAAUUACUGGGCGUAAAGCGCACGUAGGCGGACCAGAAAGUAGGGGGUGAAAUCCCGGGGCUCAACCUCGGAACUGCCUUCUAAACUCCUGGUCUUGAGUUCGAGAGAGGGGGGUGGAAUUCCGAGUGUAGAGGUGAAAUUCGUAGAUAUUCGGAGGAACAACAGUGGAGGAGGCGGCUCACUGGCUAGAUAAUGACGCUGAGGUGCGAAAGCGUAGGGAGCAAACA
rnacentral:rRNA from 1 species